rnacentral:rRNA from 1 species
UGGGGAAUAUUGCACAAUGGGGGAAACCCUGAUGCAGCGACGCCGCGUGAACGAAGAAGGUAUUCGUAUCGUAAAGUUCUGUCCUAUGGGAAGAUAAUGACAGUACCAUAGAAGAAAGCUCCGGCUAAAUACGUGCCAGCAGCCGCGGUAAUACGUAUGGAGCGAGCGUUGUCCGGAAUUAUUGGGCGUAAAGGGUACGCAGGCGGUUUAAUAAGUCGAAUGUUAAAGAUCGGGGCUCAACCCCGCAAAGCAUUGGUAACUGAUUAACUUGAGUAGUGGAGAGGAAAGUGGAAUUCCUAGUGUAGUGGUGAAAUACGUAGAUAUUAGGAGGAAUACCAGUAGCGAAGGCGACUUUCUGGACACAAACUGACGCUGAGGUACGAAAGCGUGGGGAGCAAACAGG